UCGAGCUGUUUUGCGGCCGAGCUAUGGAGCUUCGCCGAUUCCGCUAGGUGACUCGGCACAUCAAGAAGAAUGCGGCUAGCAGCUCAACAGGCGGCACUAGUGGGCACGACCCAACACGUGCGAAGCCCUGUCAGCCCAUGCCGCCAGGCUCUUUCUGUAAAAUGCACUUGAGCAUUGUUGCUGGGUUCUUCUGCCGACGUCUGCUUUGUCACCGUUUCAUGGAAUCUCCACAAUUUCCUCAAAAUACACUGUACAACCAAAGGACAUCAUGCAUUCUCAGGGGAAAAAUUUCGAGUAUCAGAAGACAAUUGCAAGGCUUGGAAGACAGCAGGUGUCAUGCGACCACUUUUCAUCGCUCCGGAUCGAAAUUCUCGACAACUAUUGGCUCCAUGGCGCAGUUUGCACAAAAGAGCCAAUCGCGACCAAGAAAUUUAUACCGGGUGGGGCUUGAUCGCGUUUAAAAGUGCGCUGCAUGACUCCCAUAUUACUCGCAUUUUGCUGUUUCUUCCCGUUUUCAUGUAUCUGCCUCUUACAAUCUUGCUGCAAUAAAUUUUUGUCUGCU